rnacentral:rRNA from 1 species
AUUGAACGCUGGCGGCAUGCCUAACACAUGCAAGUCGAACGGCAGCACAGUUAGUUGUUGCUGGUAGGGAGUGGCGGACGCGGGAGUGUUACAUCUGCAUCUGUACCUACGUGUUCGUUAGGGCGGAGGAAGGGGGACUUAUACUAAUACCGCACACGGGCUACGAGUGAAGGCCGUGGAGCUUUGGAGCUUUCGGGAUGGACUGUGCCGAUGUCGGAUUAGCUAGUUGGCGGGGUAAAGGCCCACCAAGGCGACGAUCCGUAGCUGGUCUGAGAGGAUGAUCAGCCACACUGGAACUGAGACACGGUCCAGACUCCUACGGGAGGCAGCAGUGGGGAAUAUUGGACAAUGGGCGAAAGCCUGAUCCAGCAAUACCGCGUGGGUGAAGAAGGCCUUCGGGUUGUAAAGCCCUUUUGUCGGGAAAGAAAAGCUGGGGGCUAAUACGGUGGGGUUAUGACGGUACCGGAAGAAUAAGCACCGGCUAACUACGUG